rnacentral:misc_RNA from 1 species
GGAGGGAUCAUUAACACAAAAAUAAAUAAGAGAAGAGAGAGAGGCUGCUUUUCUUCGAAUGGAGAAAGAGUUGUGUCUUUCUUUUCUCUUAGUCCAUUCGAGAGUUGUUUCGAAAACUCGAAAACUCUCUUGAGCAACGUGAAGUGUUGAAGUUUUGGUAACCUUAUUCGCAAGGUUCGUUGAACUUAGCGGUUUGGGUUUAUCAAUUUUUUAGCCAAAGAAUUUUACAAAGUUGAUAAGGAAAAAAUUGCUUGUUUUCUUCCUCUUCUCGAAGCGGACAGAACAAGGAUCAAUAUUUUUUAAUAAGAGAACAACUUUUAACAACGGAUAUCUUGGUUCUCGCAACGAUGACGAGCGCAGCGAAAUGCGAUACUUAGUGUGAAUUGCAGAAUUCAGUGAAUCAUCGAGACCUUGAACGCAAAUUGCACCUACAAGUUCUCUUGUAGGUACAUCUGUUCGAGUGUCGACUCAUCAUCACUCAAACAAUACCCAUUGGGUUUUUUUGCGAGAGUGGAAGUGAGCGUCUAAUGAAAACACUUUGUUAGUCGCUUGAAAUACAGAAGGCAGUCAAGAGGAAGUGUCCAUCCACUGAUCUCCGAAAAUGGUGUAGUAACAAAGUGCCCCAAAAAGGCAUUCUCGAAUCACCAGAGUAUUGAGGUUGGGUUUUAACGAUGAGAGAGUUCUUUAGGCUAUUUUACCUUGUAAAAAAGAUGAAACAUCGAUACACAGCUAUAAACUUGUCUGGAAACUUUUCAGUUUUCUUUCAAGCGAAACUUCGACCUCGAAUCAGAUGAGAAUACCCGCUGAACUUAAGCAUAUUAAUAAGCGGAGGAAAAGAAACUAACAAGGAUUCCCUCAGUAACUGCGAGUGAAGUGGGAAAAGCUCAAGCUUUAAAUCUGGGGCGGUCUACGUCUCCGAAUUGUAGUUUUGUGAACGGUUUCACGGACAGAUUGCUACAGUAUAAGUCCUCUGGAACGAGGUGCCAAAGAAGGUGAUAGCCCUGUGCAUGACUGUAGUGUCCAUGGUCUGUCAAUACGUGUUGCUAGUUCGAAGAGUCGGGUUGUUUGGGAGUACAGCUCAAAGUGGGAGGUAAAUUCCUUCUAAAGCUAAAUAAUGGCGAGAGACCGAUAGCGAACAAGUACCGUGAGGGAAAGAUGCAAAGAACUUUGAAAAGAGAGUUAAAAGUGCUUGAAAUUGUUAAAAGUGAAGCGAUUGGAAGCAGUACAUGUCAGCUAUUAACUCAUUCAUUUGUGGAGUGUUGGUGUGAUGCAAUCGAGUGGUCCAUCGCGAUCAUCGUUGUAUUAUGUCCUGGCAUUUUACGAGUGGAGCAUUUUAGUAGUUUGAUGAGUCAGUAUCAGUGAAUGAAGUGGGAGAAUGGUUUGGAGAAGGUGAUAUGCCUGCAGUUCUCGGAUUGUUGGUGUGUGUUAAACUCUGAGCAAAUACCAUUUUGUUGACUGAGGCAACCUAUGGUUGAUAACUGGCGCCUUCUUGGCGGAGUAAAAGUGGGACUGUGUUGUAUUGACGGUGAGGACAGCAUGCUGUGCUUGUUGAUCAAUAUGAUGCAUGGCCUAUUUACUACUAGCUAGUUAGAGAUAUUGACCGAAUGUUUCCAAUCGUCCCGUCUUGAAACACGGACCAAGGAGUCUAACAUAUGUGCGAGUGAAUGAGUGGCAAACUUAUACGCGUAAUGAAAGUGAGAGGUGGGAGUUCCUAAAAAAACGCACCAUCGACCAAUCUUGAUAUAUUUGGAUAGAUUUGAGUUGGAGCAUAUAUGUUGGGACCCGAAAGAUUGCGAACUAUGCUUGCAUAGGGUGAAGCCAGACGAAAGUCUGGUGGAGGCUCGUAGCGAUACUGACGUGCAAAUCGUUCGUCAAAUGUGGGUAUAGCGGCGAAAGACUAAUCGAGCAAUCUAGUAGCUGGUUUCCUC